rnacentral:misc_RNA from 1 species
UAUAGAGUUUACAACUCCUAAACCCACUGUGAUCUUAUCUGUGUUGCUGUUCCUUUGGCAGGCGGCUUCUGGGAGGAGCCUCGAGCCUAACGGCGCCUGCCAUUGGGGCUGAAAACUCUUGAGUUAAUAGUUGUCUGAGCUUUUAUAAAUAAGAAUCAAAACUUUCAACAACGGAUCUCUUGGUUCUGGCAUCGAUGAAGAACGCAGCGAAAUGCGAUAAGUAAUGUGAAUUGCAGAAUUCAACGAAUCAUCGAAUCUUUGAACGCAUAUUGCGCCCAUUGGUAUUCCGAUGGGCAUGCCUGUUCGAGCGUCAUUUCAACACUCAAGCGCUGCUGCUUGGUGCUGGGGCCCUGCGGGUUGCAGGCCCUGAAAGACAUUGGCAGGACAGUUAUGAUCCCGAGCGCAGUAAAUCUUCUCGCUUAGGGCGUUAUAGCGGUCUUCCGCCGUAAAAUCAGACUUUUAAAUCUGUAAAGU